AACGAACGCUGGCGGCAGGCUUAACACAUGCAAGUCGAACGGUUGUAGCAAUACAGCAGUGGCGCACGGGUGAGUAACACGUGGGAAUAUCCCUUUCAGUACGGAAUAACGUCGGGAAACUGACGCUAAUACCGUAUACACCUCCGGGUGAAAGAUUUAUCGCUGAAAGAUUAGCCCGCGUCAGAUUAGCUAGUUGGUGGGGUAACGGCCUACCAAGGCUCCGAUCUGUAGCUGGUCUUAGAGGACGAUCAGCCACACUGGAACUGAGACACGGUCCAGACUCCUACGGGAGGCAGCAGUGGGGAAUAUUGGACAAUGGGCGCAAGCCUGAUCCAGCCAUGCCGCGUGAGUGAUGAAGGCCUUAGGGUUGUAAAGCUCUUUCAGUGGGGACGAUAAUGACGGUACCCACAGAAGAAGCCCCGGCUAACUUCGUGCCAGCCGCCGCUGUAAAAC
rnacentral:rRNA from 1 species